CAACACCGGAUUUCUGGCGCCUAGGUGGCAUCCCUAAGAAAAGUAUACAAAGAAAAAGGGAGACAAAAUUACGACAAGUGCAGACAAACACUCAAGCAAACAGUUAAGUCUCGUUGUGAGCGGGAAACGUUAAAAGUGCGUGAGUUGGUGCAGUUGCUUGUGUAUUUUUAUAUAUACAUAAGUUUAUUUGCACAUUCUGUGAUUCGGCAUAAGAACUUCUAUAUACUGCAUUCGAAUUUAACCGUUAAGAUAAGACGCUUGCACCCAGGGUGACAAUGAUUUUAUUGACACAUUGACAUUAUAACACACUUAAAAAGCGAAGUCAUCUUAUUACAACAAUCGUAAAAGGUUGCCGAAAAAGUGCGAAUCAACAGUAACUUGCAAGGGGCAAAUAUUUAGAAGCUGUCGAUUGUAAUUACGGCUUACCGUUAACAAGCGUUGCUCUUGGAUUUAAUUAAUUACUUGGAUUUUGGAAAAUUUAAGACAAGAAGAUUUUCCUUCUGAAGAAAAGAGCACUUGGCCCUUGCAAAGCCGGGUAAUGCCCGCCCGUUCUUAUUUAUUUGAAUUGUAUCUCUUCGGCGUCUAAACUGGAAUAUUAAAUGAUUUUCUCCGAACUAGAGCAAGUGCAAAUGGGAAAAAUAUGUGCCCAACUAUAAGAUGGCCGUGUGAUUCAGCCAACUUUGGCCGAGGCGCUCGUCUAAUUUAUAUUUAGAUGGCGGAACGCUGGCCGACAUCCAUCAGGUCCAGAGCCGGUUAUGGCAUUCGAAUGGCCUCUGGCAUACAACAUGCACAUGAACCAACAAUUACGCAGACGCCAUAAACAUUUCCAUUAACUGUCGUUUGCCUCUAACCCCUCUCCCUCUACCAACUCUCCUCACUCCGCCCUGGCACUUGGGGGCUUCCGUUAAUAGUUUCGGCCAGGGCACGUUUUUAUCCACGCGCUGUGUGCCAGCUCAGCUUCUGCUUCUGCUGCCAAAGGCUAAUAAAUGGCACGCGCUUCUCCUGCAGCCACAGUUGCACUUUGUGCCGUGUGCCAAGUGCAUCCCCAGUCCAAGCCCAGCACUGACCUCCGACCUCCGAGCUCCGCUCGCCUUGCAUAUUCUCUUCUAUAUGCUUGCAUUUUUAAGUUCUACUUCGACCUUUCCUUUUUGUUUCGUUGGCAUUUUUUAUUAUAGUUGGGGAUCUUCGCGCAGCUCCACGGUGGCUUGAUUUUGGUUUUGUGCGCUACUCAUAAAUUGUCCCAGUAGCACGGAAUGGGCGUGUCGCAGACCAAAGCUUGCCUUUGGAGACCUUUACUUGGCUUUAAAAUUUAUUGAGCUAGAGGUUAACGAUUGCAUUGAAUUUUAAACAACAAAAACUAACAGAAAACGUAUUUUGCUUUCUUUAUCUCUAACAAAGGUGUCAAACGACACCUUUUCAAUUUGUAACUUGAAAUUAUUUUCUAGCUUGAGUAAUUUUUUCUAAAUUUUCUUUUUGAUAAUUCAUUAAUUGAUUGUUCAUUUAUUGUUAGCAUAAUCCUCGACAAAAAAAAAGAGAAUAAUUUUAAAAACUUUUUCUAUUUUCUUAGCUAAGGUGUCAAUGUCUUUUGGGUUUGAGCCUUAACGUUAAGAAAUAACUUUUUGAAUAAAUUCCUAUUUUCUAAACAUGCAAACAAUAGCUAAACUAAUUUGUUUAAA